GGACAAGGACGCCAUGAGAGGUUCCUUGGGGACGGGGACACCUCCAGAGGGACAAAAAUCCUGGAGGGACACCUUGAAGGUGACACUGAACCUUCUCUGGCAGUGGGAAGGGGACAAGGACACCACGAGAGGGACAAAAGUCCCCGUGGACACCCGGGAGGGGACAAGGACACUGUGAAAGGGACAAAGGACACCUUGAAGGUGACACUGAGCCUUCUCUGGCAGUGGGAAGGGGACAGGGACAUCUCCAGAGGGACAAAGACCCUGGAGGGACACCUUGAAGGUGACACAAACUCCUCGGGUCCCCGUGGACACCUGGGAGGUGACAAGGACACCACGAGUGGCCCCUGGGGACAGGGACGUCCCCUCCAGGUGACAGCACCGGGACCAAACCACCACAGCAACUCGGGACCCUCAGCACGGCCACCUCCUCCAGGCGCCAAAACCCCCCCG